AGAUGGCUUUGGCUAUCACUCUGGGAUGGACCUGCGGUGCAUUAGCUAGUUGGUAAGGUAACGGCUUACCAAGGCGAUGAUGCAUAGCCGAGUUGAGAGACUGAUCGGCCACAAUGGAACUGAGACACGGUCCAUACUCCUACGGGAGGCAGCAGUAGGGAAUCUUCCACAAUGGGCGCAAGCCUGAUGGAGCAACACCGCGUGAGUGAAGAAGGGUUUCGGCUCGUAAAGCUCUGUUGUUGGAGAAGAACGUGCGUGAGAGUAACUGUUCACGCAGUGACGGUAUCCAACCAGAAAGUCACGGCUAACUACGUGCCAGCAGCCGCGGUAAUACGUAGGUGGCAAGCGUUAUCCGGAUUUAUUGGGCGUAAAGCGAGCGCAGGCGGUUGCUUAGGUCUGAUGUGAAAGCCUUCGGCUUAACCGAAGAAGUGCAUCGGAAACCGGGCGACUUGAGUGCAGAAGAGGACAGUGGAACUCCAUGUGUAGCGGUGGAAUGCGUAGAUAUAUGGAAGAACACCAGUGGCGAAGGCGGCUGUCUGGUCUGCAACUGACGCUGAGGCUCGAAAGCAUGGGUAGCGAACAGGAUUAGAUACCCUGGUAGUCCAUGCCGUAAACGAUGAGUGCUAGGUGUUGGAGGGUUUCCGCCCU
rnacentral:rRNA from 1 species